UACGUAGGGUGCGAGCGUUGUCCGGAAUUAUUGGGCGUAAAGAGCUCGUAGGCGGCUUGUCGCGUCGGAUGUGAAAGCCCGGGGCUUAACUCCGGGUCUGCAUUCGAUACGGGCAGGCUAGAGUUCGGUAGGGGAGAUCGGAAUUCCUGGUGUAGCGGUGAAAUGCGCAGAUAUCAGGAGGAACACCGGUGGCGAAGGCGGAUCUCUGGGCCGAUACUGACGCUGAGGAGAAAGCGUGGGGAGCGAACAGG
rnacentral:rRNA from 1 species